rnacentral:rRNA from 1 species
CUGAACCAGCCAAGUAGCGUGAAGGAUGACUGCCCUAUGGGUUGUAAACUUCUUUUAUACGGGAAUAAAGUGAGGCACGCGUGCCUUUUUGUAUGUACCGUAUGAAUAAGGAUCGGCUAACUCCGUGCCAGCAGCCGCGGUAAUACGGAGGAUCCGAGCGUUAUCCGGAUUUAUUGGGUUUAAAGGGAGCGUAGAUGGAUGUUUAAGUCAGUUGUGAAAGUUUGCGG